rnacentral:lncRNA from 1 species
UCUUAAUCUUAUCUAGCCUGGUGUGUCCGCACAUCCACCUAAGCAUCCUCAUCUCCGCAACCUUCAUUCUCUGAACAUGAAAGUUCUUCACGGGCCAGCACUCCGCCCCAUACAACAUCGCAGGUCUAACCACGACUCUAUAUAAUUUCCCCUUGAGUUUGUGUGGAACUUUCUUGUCACACAGGACUCCUGAUGCAAGUCUCCAUUUUGACCACCCCGCUCCUAUU